UACGUAGGGUGCGAGCGUUGUCCGGAAUUAUUGGGCGUAAAGAGCUCGUAGGCGGUCUGUCGCGUCGGUCGUGAAAACUUGGGGCUUAACCCAGAGACGCCAUCCGAUACUGCUAUGGCUAGAGUCCGGUAGGGGACCACGGAAUACCUGGUGUAGCGGUGAAAUGCGCAGAUAUCGGGAGGAACACCGGUGGCGAAGGCGGUUCUCUGGGCCUUACCUGACGCUGAGGAGCGAAAGCGUGGGGAGCGAACAGG
rnacentral:rRNA from 1 species